AAUAAGUACAAUUUUGCAUUGUUCAUGUUCAACGUUUAACUGUUUGUUUUAUUUGAAAAUUUUUUAUAAUUAGUAUUUUUGAUUAUUAUUAGAUGAUGAAACAUGAAUAGUUCUUUGUGACUAUUUUUUAAAUUUUUUUAUAAUUUUUUUAAAUAAGAUGGACGGUCUGGAUACGGAAAUCCAUGGCUGUACUUAUU
rnacentral:pre_miRNA from 1 species